rnacentral:lncRNA from 1 species
UGGCAUUUGCAAAAACUAGAGAAUAACUUCCACUCGUCUGGGCAAUAGUUGGGUAGAGAGUCCCAGUUAUAAUCACACAUAAAUCGCUCUUACAAUCACUCUUAUAGAAACAAGAUAUGGUUGGCUAGAUACACCACCAGAUAUAUAGUAAAUAGAAAGAAAGUUGCAGAGAGAAGGUAACAGAAAGCAACAGUAAAGAGAGGGUAACAGUUAAGUUGCAGAGACAGAAAGAGAGAGUAACAGUAAAGUUUCAAAGAUAGAGAGAGAGAGUAGUAGUAGUAGUAGAGUUGAAAAGACAGAGUCGGAGAGAUAGGGUUGCAGAGAGGCAAGGUUGCAGAGAGGUAAGGUUGCAGAGAGGUAAGUGGAAACUGAGGGAGAAAAAUCGCGGUCUCUGAAAGACAGAGACAGAGAGAUAAGGUUAUAGAGAGGCAAGGUUGCAGAGAGGUAAGUAGAGACUGAGGGAGAAAACUCGCGGUCUUUGAUGAAUGAGCUUCUGCCCCCUUUUAUAGUUGGGGGACGCCAAAGCUUUAUUUCAAGUCCGCUGGCUGAUAAGACCUAAAGAAAGUUAGUGCUGGAUAGGGUCCACAAGUGUCGGUGAUAGGAUAAACAGGGUGUCGGUGAUGAGACUAAAAGGUAUGAACAGAAAAAGUAGAAGAUGCUGUCGGUGAACAGGGAAAAGUAGAAGAUGCUAUCGGUGGCUUUUCACUAUUUUGUCGACAAGUGUAUUUGGCAGGACUCGUGUGCUUUUGGAAUGCAGUCGUUCCAUCCUUAGUAUUGAGAUAAUCCGAUUUCCAUAUCUUCAUUUUCUUGUGCAUAGUCUUUUGGUAUCAAAGCCACGAGCUUACACUGGUGAACUGCAGUAAAAGAACUGUUCUAAGGGUUAAGAACUUAAAGAAAUUUUCCAAAAAGAUAAUUAGG